UACGUAGGGUGCAAGCGUUAAUCGGAAUUACUGGGCGUAAAGCGUGCGCAGGCGGUUUUGUAAGACAGGCGUGAAAUCCUCGGGCUCAACCUGGGAAUUGCGCUUGUGACUGCAAGGCUGGAGUGCGGCAGAGGGGGAUGGAAUUCCGCGUGUAGCAGUGAAAUGCGUAGAUAUGCGGAGGAACACCGAUGGCGAAGGCAAUCCCCUGGGCCUGCACUGACGCUCAUGCACGAAAGCGUGGGGAGCAAACAGG
rnacentral:rRNA from 1 species